GCGCACCAGGCGCGAAACUUCACACUGUGCGAAAGCACGAUGAGGGAAUCCCAAGUGCUUGCACGUAAGUGUAAGCUGUUUCUCUGUCUAAAACGCAGAGAGAGUAAGGGCUGGGUAAGACGGGUGCCAGCCGCCGCGGUAAUACCUGCAGCUCAAGUGGUGACCGUUAUUAUUGGGCCUAAAACGUCCGUAGCCGGUUUAAUAAAUGCCUGGGUAAAUUGUGUAGCUUAACUAUACGAAUUCCGGGUAGACUGUUAAACUUGAGACCGGGAGAAGUUAGAGGUACUCCUGGGGUAGAGGUGAAAUUCUGUAAUCCUAGGGGACCACCAGUGGCGAAGGCGUCUAACUAGAACGGGUCUGACGGUGAGGGACGAAGCCCUGGGGCGCAAACGGGGAUUAGAUACCCCUGUAGU
rnacentral:rRNA from 1 species